CCUACGGGUGGCAGCAGUGGGGAAUAUUGCACAAUGGGGGAAACCCUGAUGCAGCGACGCCGCGUGAGCGAUGAAGUAUUUCGGUAUGUAAAGCUCUAUCAGCAGGGAAGAAAAUGACGGUACCUGACUAAGAAGCACCGGCUAACUACGUGCCAGCAGCCGCGGUAAUACGUAGGGGGCAAGCGUUAUCCGGAUUUACUGGGUGUAAAGGGAGCGUAGACGGCGGUGCAAGUCAGAUGUGAAAGCCUGGGGCUCAACCCCGGGACUGCAUUUGGAACUGUGCUGCUAGAGUGUCGGAGAGGCAGGCGGAAUUCCUGGUGGAGCGGUGAAAUGCGUAGAGAUUAGGAGGAACACCAGUGGCGAAGGCGGCCUGCUGGAAGAUAACUGACGUUGAGGCUCGAAAGCGUGGGGAGCAAACAGGAUUAGAUACCCGUGUAGUC
rnacentral:rRNA from 1 species